GCCAAACUCUGUAGGAACUACUCUUGACCAGAACAAACUAUGUAAAUCGAGGGCUUGCACAAAAGUUACCCAUGCCACAGUGAAGAUGAAGCUCCUCGGCUAGAUCAUCAUCUGCAUCAUAGCCCCUAACUUUGGGUGCACUCCAGGGUGCUGUCCUUGGACAAGAUGUUUCUACAUUCUCGUUUAACGGCUGGUACUUGGAAGGCUCUCUGGAAGGGAGAAGGGAGAGUGAUAUAUUGGGAAAU